UACGUAGGGUGCGAGCGUUGUCCGGAAUUAUUGGGCGUAAAGAGCUCGUAGGCGGUUUGUCACGUCUGCUGUGAAAUCCCGAGGCUCAACCUCGGGCCUGCAGUGGGUACGGGCAGACUGGAGUGCGGUAGGGGAGAAUGGAAUUCCUGGUGUAGCGGUGGAAUGCGCAGAUAUCAGGAGGAACACCGGUGGCGAAGGCGGGUCUCUGGGCCGUAACUGACGCUGAGGAGCGAAAGCAUGGGGAGCGAACAGG
rnacentral:rRNA from 1 species